GACGAACGCUGGCGGCGUGCUUAACACAUGCAAGUCGAACGGAAGGGCCCUGCUUUUGUGGGGUGCUCGAGUGGCGAACGGGUGAGUAACACGUGAGUAACCUGCCCUUGACUUUGGGAUAACUUCAGGAAACUGGGGCUAAUACCGGAUAGGAGCUCCUGCUGCAUGGUGGGGGUUGGAAAGUUUCGGCGGUUGGGGAUGGACUCGCGGCUUAUCAGCUUGUUGGUGGGGUAGUGGCUUACCAAGGCUUUGACGGGUAGCCGGCCUGAGAGGGUGACCGGCCACAUUGGGACUGAGAUACGGCCCAGACUCCUACGGGAGGCAGCAGUGGGGAAUAUUGCACAAUGGGCGGAAGCCUGAUGCAGCAACGCCGCGUGCGGGAUGACGGCCUUCGGGUUGUAAACCGCUUUCGCCUGUGACGAAGCGUGAGUGACGGUAAUGGGUAAAGAAGCACCAGCUAACUACGUG
rnacentral:rRNA from 1 species